rnacentral:rRNA from 1 species
ACGGAAGGCAGCAGUGGGGAGUAUUGCACAAUGGGGGAAACCCUGAUGCAGCGAUGCCGCGUGGAGGAAGAAGGUUUUCGGAUUGUAAACUCCUGUCUUAAAGGACGAUAAUGACGGUACUUUAGGAGGAAGCUCCGGCUAACUACGUGCCAGCAGCCGCGGUAAUACGUAGGGAGCGAGCGUUGUCCGGAAUUACUGGGUGUAAAGGGAGCGUAGGCGGGACUGCAAGUCAGAUGUGAAAUGCCGGGGCUUAACCCCGGAGCUGCAUUUGAAACUGUGGUUCUUGAGUGAAGUAGAGGCAAGCGGAAUUCCUGGUGUAGCGGUGAAAUGCGUAGAUAUCAGGAGGAACACCGGUGGCGAAGGCGGCUUGCUGGGCUUUUACUGACGCUGAGGCUCGAAAGCGUGGGUAGCAAACAGGAUUAGAUACCCUGGUA